UACGUAGGGACCGAGCGUUGUCCGGAAUCAUUGGGCGUAAAGAGCGUGUAGGCGGCCACUUAAGUCCUGCGUGAAAUCUUGCGGCUCAACCGCAAGCGGUCGUGGGAAACUGGGAGGCUAGAGUGCGGGAGAGGAGAGUGGAAUUCCUGGUGUAGCGGUGGAAUGCGCAGAUAUCAGGAAGAACACCCGUGGCGAAGGCGGCUCGCUGGGACGGUACUGACGCUGAGACGCGAAAGCGUGGGGAGCAAACAGG
rnacentral:rRNA from 1 species